UUCUUAUCCACAUCACUAUAAGUAAAAUCUGCUCCAUGUUCUAUAAAUAGCCGCAGAAUUUUAACUGUGCUAAGGUAGCAUAAUCAUUUACCUUUUAAUUAAAGGUUUGUAUGAAAGAUUUUACAUUUAAAUUACUUUUUUAUUACCUAUAGUUAAAAUUAAACUAAACAUAAAAAUGUUUUUAUAAGACAAAAAGACGACAAGACCCUAUUGAACUUUACUUUAGUUUAGCUGGGGAAGCUAAUUAAAUAGAAUUUUAAUUUUUAAAUAAAUAAAAUUAACUGGAUAACCAAUUUGAAUAAGUUACCAUAGGGAUAACAGCGUAAUAACUCUUAAAAGCUCCUAUUUAAAGAAAAGAUUACGACCUCGAUGUUGAAUUAGAAUUACUUUGAAACGCAAUAGUCCCAAAAGUAGGUCUGUUCGACCUUUAAAUUUCUACA
rnacentral:rRNA from 1 species